GUGAUUGCAUUAUGCUUGUUUGGCAUCAUGGAUCUACAAUUCAACCUUGCAAAUGCCCACUAUGUCGUCGUCAAAUUAAAUUGUUGGUCCCUAGUGAAACUUCACAAAGGGAGCGUCAUAACCCUGAGGUUGCUGAGAUUUUGCAAAAGGUUCAAGCUUAUAAUCGUCUUUUUGGUGGACAAACUAAUGGUCUCAUUCAGAGAAUGCAAGACCUUCCCUUUCUGCUAAAAAGGUUGUUAAGGGAAAUUAUGGAUCCUCAAAGGUCACUUCCUCUUGUCAUCAGGGCACGUGUCUACAUUGCAGUUAAGUAAUUGGCAACUUUACUGUAAGAAUUAUGUUUUCCCUUGCAUUGUAGUCUUUUAGAUCUCACAUAAUGUUAAGGGCUAUAGAAAGGCUUCAUUCCUGAAAGCUUGUAGAAAGCAUAAGCAGCUGCAAUUUUUCUAAAAAGAAUUACAUGAGCAUAAGUAUUGAUGUUAAGCAUAAUGGGUAGGAAUUUUUGUUCAAGCUCGUGCUAAGAAAAUAAGGAUGUCAAGCAGCUCAAGUCUUGAUUUCGAUCAAUUGUAGCCUAGUGAUUUUCUAUAUAGCAUGCUGCCAUCCUGUUGGAUAGCUUACAUCUCCCUCUAUGAAUAAGUAAUUAGGGUUGUGGGGCAAGUCCCUGUGGUAUGGUGCAAUAAAAUAGAGCCAUUAGGCCAAGUGGAGACAGUGUGGAUUUAUGUGAACAAUUGUCAUUAAGGAAUAUAUAUAUAUAUCUUACUAAUGUAGUAUGGUGGGUUGAGUGUGGAUUAGUGUGAACAGAUGUCAUUAAGGAACCUCUAUAUAUAUAUCUUACCAAUGUAGUAUGGUGGGUUGAUAUGUUAUGGUGGGUUGAGAGUGGAUUAGUGUAAACAGAUGUAUUAAGGAAUGGGUUGAUAUAGUAUGGUGGGUUGAGAGUGGAUUAGCGUAAACAGAUGUAUUAAGGAAUCUCUAUGUAUAUAUAUAUCUUACCAAUACAGUGGUGGGUUGAGUGUGAAUUAGUAAGAACGGAUGUCAUUAUUUUUAUAUACAUAUAUAUCUUAUCAAUGUAGUAUGGUGGGUUGAGUGUGGAUUAAUGUGAACAUAUGUCGUUAAGGAAUAUAUAUAUAUAUAUAUAUAUAUAUAUAUUAAUGUGAACAGAUGACAUAUAUAUAUAUAUAUCUUACCAAUAUCUUAUGAUGAGUUGAGUGUGAAUUAGUCUGAUUGCAACCCAGAAUAGAUGUAGUUAAGGAAUCUAUAUAUAUAUAUAUAUAUCACCAAUGUAGUAAAUGAAGCUUCUUCUUUUCUCUUAUUCUCUUUUCAUUUCCUAUUUCAUCCUCAUAUUUUAUUCUCCUCAAUUCUAAUUCAAUUGUGGUUUGUAUAAAACAUUUUCAUUUGCUCUGGUACUUUAUUUUUUAUUUGUGUUACUUCUCUGUAUUGAUUGUUUACUAUUAUGUUUGUGCUGAUAUUUUUUAAAGAGUUUUUCUUAUAAUUUUUUUUUGUACUAAUUUAUCUUGGUUGAACUUGCUCUAUAGUUGAGUGUAUGAUUUUCAUCAUUUGCUUCCAUCUUUUCAUUAAAAUUCUCUUUGCUUAUUUUUCUUUUAAAAAAAGCUAUUGCAUUACCUUUUGAUUUACUAAAAGAGAUCUCAUUUGUUUACUCCAAAUUAAGUUUAUCAACUUUCUUAAUUGGUGAAGUUAAUUAAUUAAAACUAUUGUUAAGCUAAAGAUUAAUUUAUUAUGCUAAAAAUUUUAACAUGACAAGAUUUUUUUUUUGGUAAAAUCCUUCCAUAUUUUCUUUUCUGUAAAUAUUUUUCUUAACAAAACCCAGAUUUCAUUCACGCUUGCCUUUACAUGAUUUUACAUUGUCAUUUCAUGAAAAACAUAAUUCAAGACUAAUUUUACAAUUAUUUUUAUAAAAUAAUGGGUAGUGAUUGUGACAUUAAUUUUUUUACAAUAAUUGUUUUAAAUUAAAAAUAAAUCAUUUAGUUAAUGUCGCAUCGACGUAAGUAUGAUAAUAAUAAUAAUAACAUAGGUUAUAGAAAAAAUUUUAUUUAAUGAUUAAUAAAAUAUUAAUUAAUUAAUUAAUUUUUUUAAACUAUACAGAUCUCAUCAAAACAAAAUGGAUUUAGAAUAAUUGUGCUCAUAGUACUUGAAUUAUUUGGUGAGUGAUUAAGAUGAAGCUUUUGUAUUUUAUUUAUUUAAUUAUAUAUGAGUAUAAUAUAAUUUUUAUUUAUUUUUUUAUAACAGGAACUAUAAUAUAAUAUAUUAGCAUUUUUGCUUUUAUACAUGUACAUCUAUUUAUUUUUAAAUAUUCAUACUCUAAAUAUCUACUAAUAAUUAUUUAUUAUUUACAAUUAUUUAUAUUCUAAACUUAUACAUUAAUAAAAUCAAAAGAGAGAAGACUAUAAGAAACAUGGAAGGAACUCAGAUAUAUGACACUUCCCUAUAAUUUCUUUGUGUAUUGAAUAUUAGCUUAUUGUUUGCAUGAUAUGUAUUUUUUAUUUUUUCACUUUUUAAGAAUUAUUUUCUUUAUUGAUGUAUUUAUAUUUUGGAAAUUUUUAUUCUUUUAAUAAUUGUUAUAAUUUUGUUUACAUUUUAUAGAUAUGGAUUACUUUUUAUAAUUAAACAUAACAUAUUGAUAACGAUGACCAGUGGUAUUGAAGUAUUGAUUUAUGCCAUUUAUACUCAUAUUUUUAUUAUAUUAUCAGGCAAAUGCAGAAAAGUAUAAAGUUUUUGUACUCCUCUUUUUAUUACACAUUCCAUAUAUUUUCAUAGCAAUUUGAUCUAUUCUUGUUAGAGAGAAUUAAACAAGAAUUUUGUAAUUACAUUAUCUCACCAUCAUUGCAUACAACAUUACAUUUUCUACUACAGUAAGUAUAAUUUUCACUAUUUUUUCACCUUAGUGUCACUUUUAAUUUUAUUAAAUUCUUGAACUAAUUUUAAUUAGUAUACGAGAGUGUAUGUACAUGCAAGAAUAUCAUGUUAUAUGGCAUAAAUUAUUAUAAUAAUAUAUUUAUGUGUUUAUAUUUAAUAAUUCAAUAGAUGGUUCUUCAAAUAAAAAAUGCACAAUCCAUUUCACUUGCAUAGACUUUAAUCAACUUCUUGAGCGUCUGUAGCUGGCUUAUUUUUGGUUUGUUAUUCUUUGAUCUUGAUAUUACGAUAAAUUUUUUUUGAAUCAUUACUUUUUUAUUUUAAUUUAAUAGUGUAUAUUUGUGGUAAUUUUUUUAAAAAAAUUAUUUACUAAACUUACGGAACAAUGUCAGUUUUCUAUUUAUUAUUUUAGUCAAUUAAAAAAUAUAUUGUAAUCGGAUUUUAUUUAUUUACAGAUUCCAUACGGUGUUGGAGCAAGUUUUUAGUUAAUAAAAUUAAUAUUAUAUUUUAUAUAUCGUACUUAAAGACAAACAAAUAAUAUUGAUGAAUUUAUUAGAGAGGAAAAUCAGUUAGAAACAUAAAAUAAUAUUGUCCCUAAUUAUAUCAUUGAUAUCAGUACCAUUUACUAAGAUAUUGAAGAUGAAUUGGAGGAGAAAGAGGAGAGAGAUGUAGCUUGCAUUGAUGCAUCUCUCAUCCUCUUCUUCGUUUUCAAUAUAUUGAUAAAUGAUAUUAAUAUCAAUGACAUAAUUAGAGACGAUAUUGUUUUCUAUUUUUGGCUGAUUUUCCUAACAAAUUCAUCAAUAUUAUUUUCUUGUUUUUGAGUAUUAUAUAUAAAGUAUAAUACUAAUUUUGCUAAUAAAAACAUGCUCCAACACUAGAUGAUGAAAUCUGUAAAUAAAUAAAAUUUGAUUACAAUAUAUUUUUUUAUUGACUAAAAUAAUAAAGAGAAAAAUGACAUUAUCUCGCAGGUUUGGUAAAUAAUUAAAAAAAAAAGCUACCACAAAUAUACACUACUAAAUUAAAAUAAAAAAACAAUAAUUCAAAAAAAAAAACUUAUCGUAAUAUAUAGAUCAGAGUGUAAAAAAAUAAAAAAUAAGCCAGCUACAAACACUCAAGAAGUUCAUUGAAGUCCAUACAAGCGAAAUGGAUUGUGCAUUUUUUAUUUAAAGAACCACCCACUGAAUUAUUAAAUAUAAACAUAUAAAUAUAUUAUUAUAAUAAUUUAUGCCAUAUAACAUGAUAGUUUUGUAUGUACAUACACUCUCAUAUACUAUUAAUAAAAAUUAGUUCAAGAAUUUAAUAAAAUUAAAAGGGACACUAAAGAGAAAAAAAUGAAAAUUAUACUUACGACAAUAGAAAAGGUAAUGCCGUAUGCAAUAAUGGUGACUGUCGAAAUAACGUAUUUAUAAAAUUCUUGUUUAACUCUCUCUAAAAAGAUAUCAAAUUACCAUAAAGAUAUACAGAAUGAGUAAUAAAAAGAGGAAUAUAAAGACUUUACGUCUUUUUGCAUUUACCGAAGAAUAUAAUAAAAAUACGAAUAUAUAAAAAGCAUAAAUCAAUGCUCCAAUGCUACUAGUUAUCAUUGCCAAUGUGUUAUUUUUAAUUAUAAAAGGUAAUCCAUACUAAUAAAAUUAUAAUAAUUAUUAAAAGAGUAAAGAUUUCCAAAAUAUAAAUGGAUUAAUAAAGAAAGUAAUUCUUAAAAGUGAAACAGUACUAAUAGAAAAUACAUACCAUACAAACAAUAAGUUAGUAUUCAAUGCACAAAGAAAUUGUAGGGCAAGUGUCAUAUAUUGAGUUUCUUCCAUAUUUUUUAUAGUAUUCUCUCUUCUGAUUUUAUUAAUUUGACAUUUAUCAAUGUAUAACUUUAGAGUAUAAAUAAUUGUAAAUAAUAAAUAAUUAUUAGUAGAUAUGUAUGUGAAUAUUUAAAAAUAAAUAGUUGUACAUACAUAAAAGUAAAAAUGCUAACAAAUUGUGUUAUAGUUCUAUUACAAAAGAAUAAAUAAAAAUUAUUUAUACUCCUAUAUAAUUAAAUAAAUAAAAUCACAAAAAUUUUAUUUUAAUUACUCUCCAAAUAUCAUGGGUAUAAUUGUCAAUUCUAAAUCCAUCAAAAGAUUUGUAUAGUUAAAAAAAUAAAUUAAUUAAUAUUUUAUUAAUCAUUAAAGAAAAUUUUUUUAUGAGCAUAAUUUGCAUUGAUGCGACAUUAAUUAAAUAAUUUAUUUUUAAUUUAAAAUAAGUAUUGCAAGAAAAAUUAAUGUCAUAACCACUACUAUUAUUUUAUAAAAGUAAUAGUAAAAUUAGUUUUGUAAUAAAAUGUUUAUGGGAAUAUAUUCUCCAUGAAAUGAUAAUAUAAAAUCAUGUAAAGGUAAAGCCUGAAUGAAAUUUUAGUUUUGUUAAGAAGAAUAUUUAUAGAGAAAAAAAUAUAAAAGGAUUUUACCAAAAAGAAAAUAAAAAAAAGAAAAGUCUCAUCAUGUUAAAGGUUUUGGCAUAAUAAAUUAAUUUUUAGCUUAACAAUAAUUUUAAUUAAUUAAUAUUAUCAAUUAAGAAAUUUAUAAAUUUAAAUUGAAGUAAGCAAAGGAGAUCCCCUAAGAAAUCUCAAAAGAUAAUGUAAUAAAAGCAAAAGAGAAUUUUAAUGAAAAGAUGAAAGCAGGGGAUGAAAAUCAUACACUCAAUUAUAGAGUAAUUCCAACUAAGAUAAAUCGGUACAAAAAAAGUUAUAAGAAAAACUCUUUAAAAAAUAUCAGCACACAAAUAACAAUAAACAAUCAAUACAAAGAAAUAACACAAACAAAAAAUGAAGCAUUAGAGCAAAAGAAAAUAUUUUAUAGUUGAGUUAGAGUUAGAAUUGAGUAGAAUAAAAUAUAUGGAUGAAAUAGGGAAUGAAAAGAGAAUAAGAGAAAGGAGAAUGCUUGUUUUACUACAUUGGUGAGAUAUAUAUAUAUAUAUAUAUAUAUAUAGAUUCCUUAAUGACAUCUGUUCACAUUAAGCCACACUCAACCUACUAUAUUACAUUGGUAAGAUAUAUAUAUAUAUAUAUAUAUAUAUAUAUAUAGAUUCCUCAAUGACAUCAUUCAACCCACCACUAUAUUUGUAAGAUAUAUAUUCCUUAAUGACAUUUGUUCACACUUAACCCACCAUACUAUAUCAACCCAUCAUACAUACAUUAGUAAGAUAUAUAUAUAUAUAUACACAUAUAUUCCUUAAUGACAUUUAUUCACACUAAUCCACAUUCAACCCACCAUUCCUUAGUGACAUCUGUUCACACUAAUUCACACUGUCUCCACUUGGCCUGAUGGCUCCAUCUUAUUGAACCAUACCACAGGACUUGCCCCACAACCCUUUUUACUUGUUCAUGGUGGAAGACGUAAGCCUAGAGAGUCUGUUCAGCUCACCAACUUGCACAACGUUUCUUUUGUAAGGCCUUUAGGUGUAGCGUAUCUCCAAUAUGAUUCUCUCUAACUUAGCAUUCCAUAUUGUAAUUUAUUUAAGUUUUUGUUGUGAAGUGAGCCGAUUGGAUUGUUAGCUUGUCUAUUCGCAUGCUUGUUAGUUGGUAUUGUAAAACAGACUUGAGAUAACACCUGUAAUCAUUUUUUUUUAUUAUAUUAAUUGAAUACUUUGAAUGUUUUGCUCUUAAA